UACGUAGGGUGCAAGCGUUGUCCGGAAUUACUGGGCGUAAAGCGCACGUAGGCGGCUUUGCAAGUUAGAGGUGAAAGCCCGGGGCUCAACUCCGGAAUUGCCUUUAAAACUGCAUCGCUAGAAUUGUGGAGAGGUAAGUGGAAUUCCGAGUGUAGAGGUGAAAUUCGUAGAUAUUCGGAAGAACACCAGUGGCGAAGGCGACUUACUGGACACAUAUUGACGCUGAGGUGCGAAAGCGUGGGGAGCAAACAGGG
rnacentral:rRNA from 1 species